UACCGGAUGGUAUGGUGUGAGCACUUUGAUACUGUUUUUUUUAUUUUUUCGAAGUAUUUGGAAAUUUCUGUAUUUUUUCCCCAUUACAUAUUGAAAUAUUAUAUAGUCCAGGAGAAUACGGAAGAAUUUUAUAAGUUUUUGUGGAGUGAAAGAAUUUUUGCAAGAGAGUUACAUAUUUAAUUUCAACAAAAAGACACUUUUUAUAUUUGGACUAAACUGGAUACAAUGGCAUUUUUAUAUUUAUCUGAGUUUUCGAUAUAUCAGCCAGACGAGGCUUUGGGAUGCCUGUGGUAUCCUGCAGUCUCCUUUAUAAAAAGCAAUAACAAGGUCCAACAUGUAAAUAAAUAAAUGGCGUAAAUUUCCUGCAUCAUAAUUUAGAAGUCUAUGAUGAAUAAAAAUUUCUAAGCCUAUGCGUAGCCAAAAAAAUCAAUACAUUUAAAUUCAAAGAAAUUUCUCCUGACUGCUUAAGAAUAUAGAAAGCUUUCUUCAGCUGAAUAUGAAAACUAAUAACAUUCAGUUUAACAACGUCUUCACGAGUACUUCAGCCCUGAUGAAAAAUUUGAAGCCAUUUGGAUGUCCUUUUUUCUAUUUUCAAAUCCUAAAAUAAAAUUAAGGUCCAACUUCACACAACAAUUUACUUGGAAAGGACCAAUUAA